GAUGAACGCUGGCGGCGUGCCUAAUACAUGCAAGUCGAGCGAACAGAUAAGGAGCUUGCUCCUUUGACGUUAGCGGCGGACGGGUGAGUAACACGUGGGUAACCUACCUAUAAGACUGGAAUACUCCGGGAAACCGGGGCUAAUGCAGGAUAACAUGUUGAACCGCAUGGUUCUACAGUGAAAGGCGGCUUUGCUGUCACUUAUAGAUGGACCCGCGCCGUAUUAGCUAGUUGGUGAGGUAACGGCUCACCAAGGCAACGAUACGUAGCCGACCUGAGAGGGUGAUCGGCCACACUGGAACUGAGACACGGUCCAGACUCCUACGGGAGGCAGCAGUAGGGAAUCUUCCGCAAUGGGCGAAAGCCUGACGGAGCAACGCCGCGUGAGUGAUGAAGGUCUUCGGAUCGUAAAACUCUGUUAUUAGGGAAGAACAAAUGCGUAAGUAACUGUGCGCGUCUUGACGGUACCUAAUCAGAAAGCCACGGCUAACUACGUG
rnacentral:rRNA from 1 species